GGGUUCGUAGCUCAAUAGGUUAGAGCAUCCGACUCAUAAUCGGCAGGUUCAGGGUUCAAGUCCCUGCGAACCCACCA
rnacentral:tRNA from 1 species